UACGUAGGGUGCAAGCGUUGUCCGGAAUGAUUGGGCGUAAAGCGCGUGUAGGCGGCUUGUUAAGUCCGCUCUGAAAGCCCGGGGCUCAACCCCGGGAGGCGGGUGGAUACUGGCAAGCUCGAGUCCGGAAGAGGCGAGUGGAAUUCCUGGUGUAGCGGUGAAAUGCGCAGAUAUCAGGAGGAACACCAAUGGCGAAGGCAGCUCGCUGGGACGUGACUGACGCUGAGACGCGAAAGCGUGGGGAGCGAACGGG
rnacentral:rRNA from 1 species